ACUCUCGGCAACGGAUAUCUCGGCUCUCGCAUCGAUGAAGAACGUAGCAAAAUGCGAUACUUGGUGUGAAUUGCAGAAUCCCGUGAAUCAUCGAGUCUUUGAACGCAAGUUGCGCCCGAGGCCAUUAGGCUAAGGGCACGUCUGCCUGGGCGUCACGC
rnacentral:rRNA from 1 species